UACGGGGGGGGCAAGCGUUGUUCGGAAUUACUGGGCGUAAAGGGCUCGUAGGCGGCCAACUAAGUCAGACGUGAAAUCCCCAGGCUCAACCUGGGAACUGCGUCUGAUACUGGAUGGCUUGAAUCCGGGAGAGGGAUGCAGAAUUCCAGGUGUAGCGGUGAAAUGCGUAGAUAUCUGGAGGAAUACCGGUGGCGAAGGCGGCAUCCUGGACCGGCAUCGACGCUGAGGAGCGAAAGCCAGGGGAGCAAACGGG
rnacentral:rRNA from 1 species